rnacentral:rRNA from 1 species
GAUGAACGCUGGCGGCGUGCCUAAUACAUGCGAGUCGAGCGAACGGACGAGAAGCUUGCUUUUCUGAUGUUAGCGGCGGACGGGUGAGUAACACGUGGAUAACCUACCUAUAAGACUGGGAUAACUUCGGGAAACCGGAGCCAAUACCGGAUAAUAUUUUGAACCGCAUGGUUCAAAAGUGAAAGACGGUCUUGCUGUCACUUAUAGAUGGAUCCGCGCUGCAUUAGCUAGUUGGUAAGGUAACGGCUUACCAAGGCAACGAUGCAUAGCCGACCUGAGAGGGUGAUCGGCCACACUGGAACUGAGACACGGUCCAGACUCCUACGGGAGGCAGCAGUAGGGAAUCUUCCGCAAUGGGCGAAAGCCUGACGGAGCAACGCCGCGUGAGUGAUGAAGGUCUUCGGAUCGUAAAACUCUGUUAUUAGGGAAGAACAUAUGUGUAAGUAACUGUGCACAUCUUGACGGUACCUAAUCAGAAAGCCACGGCUAACUACGUG